rnacentral:tRNA from 1 species
GAAAAUGUAGUUAAAAUAUAAUAAAUAGUUUGAAACUAUUAGUUGGUUUGGGGCCCUUUUCU